AUACGUAGGGAGCGAGCGUUGUCCGGAAUUACUGGGUGUAAAGGGAGCGUAGGCGGGAGUGCAAGUCAGAUGUGAAAUACAUGGGCUCAACCCAUGGGCUGCAUUUGAAACUGCAUUUCUUGAGUGAAGUAGAGGUGAGCGGAGUUCCUGGUGUAGCGGUGAAAUGCGUAGAUAUCAGGAGGAACACCAGUGGCGAAGGCGGGUAACUGGACUGCAACUGACGCUGAGGCGCGAAAGUGUGGGGAGCAAACAGGAUUAGAUACCCUGGUAGUCCACACUGUAAACGAUGAAUGCUAGGUGUAAGAGGUAUCGACCCCUUUUGUGCCGGAGUCAACACAAUAAGCAUUCCGCCUGGGGAGUACGGCCGCAAGGUUGAAACUCAAAGGAAUUGACGGG
rnacentral:rRNA from 1 species